UACGGGGGGAGCAAGCGUUGUUCGGAUUUACUGGGCGUAAAGGGCGCGUAGGCGGCCACCGCAAGUCGACUGUGAAAUCUCCGGGCUUAACCCGGAAAGGUCAGCCGAUACUGCGGGGCUAGAGUGCAGAAGGGGCAACUGGAAUUCUCGGUGUAGCGGUGAAAUGCGUAGAUAUCGAGAGGAACACCUGCGGCGAAGGCGGGUUGCUGGGCUGACACGUGACGCUGAGGCGCGAAAGCUAGGGGAGCAAACGGG
rnacentral:rRNA from 1 species